rnacentral:rRNA from 1 species
UACGAAGGGGGCUAGCGUUGUUCGGAUUUACUGGGCGUAAAGCGCACGUAGGCGGAUCUUUAAGUCAGAGGUGAAAUCCCGGAGCUCAACUUCGGAACUGCCUUUGAUACUGGGGAUCUCGAGUUCGGGAGAGGUGAGUGGAACUGCGAGUGUAGAGGUGAAAUUCGUAGAUAUUCGCAAGAACACCAGUGGCGAAGGCGGACUCACUGGCCCGGUACUGACGCUGAGGUGCGAAAGCG